UCCUGGCUCAGAUUGAACGCUGGCGGCAUGCCUUACACAUGCAAGUCGAACGGCAGCGGACCUUCGGGUGCCGGCGAGUGGCGAACGGGUGAGUAAUAUAUCGGAACGUACCUUUCAGUGGGGAUAACGUAGCGAAAGUUACGCUAAUACCGCAUAUUCUGUGAGCAGGAAAGCAGGGGAUCGCAAGACCUUGCGCUGAUUGAGCGGCCGAUAUCAGAUUAGCUAGUUGGUGAGGUAAAGGCUCACCAAGGCGACGAUCUGUAGCGGGUCUGAGAGGAUGAUCCGCCACACUGGAACUGAGACACGGUCCAGACUCCUACGGGAGGCAGCAGUGGGGAAUUUUGGACAAUGGGCGCAAGCCUGAUCCAGCCAUGCCGCGUGAGUGAAGAAGGCCUUCGGGUUGUAAAGCUCUUUCGGCCGGGAAGAAAUCGCACAGGUUAAUACCCUGUGUGGAUGACGGUACCGGAAUAAGAAGCACCGGCUAACUACGUG
rnacentral:rRNA from 1 species